ACGCACGCUGGCGGCGCGCUUAACACCUGCAAGUCGAACGGAAAGGCCUGCUUUCCCUUGUGGAUUGCGGGUACUCGAGUGGCGAACGGGUGAGUAACACGUGAGUGAUCUGCCCCCAACUUGGGUAUAAGCCUGGGAAACUGGGUCUAAUUCCCGAUAGGACUGCAGGGUGGUGCCUGUGGUGGAAAACGAUUUUCUAGUGGUUGGGGAUGAGCUCGCGGCCUAUCAGCUUGUUGGUGGGGUAAUGGCCUACCAAGGCGGCGACGGGUAGCCGGCCUGAGAGGGUGGACGGCCACAUUGGGACUGAGAUACGGCCCAGACUCCUACGGGAGGCAGCAGUGGGGAAUAUUGCACAAUGGGCGGAAGCCUGAUGCAGCGACGCCGCGUGGGGGAUGACGGCCUUCGGGUUGUAAACUCCUUUCGACCGCGAGGAAGCCACCUGGUUGGAAGGGUGGUGACGGUAGUGGUAGAAGAAGCACCGGCUAACUACGUG
rnacentral:rRNA from 1 species